UACGUAGGGCGCAGGCGUUGUCCGGAAUUAUUGGGCGUAAAGAGCUCGUAGGCGGUUUGUCGCGUCUGCUGUGAAAACCUGGGGCUCAACCCCGGGCCUGCAGCCGAUACGGGCAGACUAGAAUUCGGUAGGGGAGACUGGAAUUCCUGGUGUAGCGGUGGAAUGCGCAGAUAUCAGGAGGAACACCGGUGGCGAAGGCGGGGUCUCUGGGCAGUAACUGACGCUGAGGAGCGAAAGCGUGGGGAGCGAACAGG
rnacentral:rRNA from 1 species